CACGUGUUGGUUUGGUGCGUGUGACAAAAAAAUGGUUCAUGGCGGUGGGUUUUGGGUUUGGCUUGGGAUACAAUCCUAAACAAGAAUAGGGACAGAAUUUUAUCCAAGAUUUCAAGAUAAGCAGGAAACCCAUGAACCAAAUGCUCCUUAGGAUGGAUAUGGAUGCUCAACAAGAAUAACCACAUGGUGAAAGGCAAGCAGUAAAAUAAAUUCAUGGCAGCAAAAGUUUCGUGCAUAUCUCAUCAUAACCAUUUGUCGAUUUCUUGUUAAGUAGCAGUCACACUUGGUCGUUUGCAAUGGAGCUUCCAAACAACAGGGUAAGGGAUAAAAUUAAAAUUCAAAGUUAAACACUAAAACCGAACGCUUUAACAGUAAUUCAUUAUAAUAUAAGAUCAGGAAUUUUAAGCGUUUCAAAUGUGGUGGGCUGUCAUCUGGAGCUGGAUCAAGUGGUCAAACCUAAUGGAGUAGGUGGGAGGAGACAGAGAGAAUCCUCUGCUUUCUGGGGCAGUGAGAAGGCUGAGACAAUAGUCUUUUUGACAAGAAAAGACCAAAGAGUAUUAAAAAAAAUAAAUAAAUAAAAAAGCGUGGUCAACGUCCAUCCUAUCGUUGCUGACAUAGAAUAGCCAUAUGACAUUUUCAAAGGUUAUUAAAAAUAGCUCUGGUCCACCAAGCUACGUCUUUCAUUUUCUCAAAAUUCAAAUUGCAUUUGCAUUUUGCCAUUUACCUAAUUUUCAGAGUGAAAAGGACUUGUUGUAAUGUUCAAAACAAGGGAAAAGUAAAAGUCAAAUCAUUUUGCAAUACCAAGUUUCUAUCACAUCAAAUUCCAACGCAUAUAACUUCCAAAAAAGAGCCAAAAAAAAACAAAAAAAAAAAAAAAACAAA